UACAGGGGGUGCAAACGUUGCUCGGAAUUAUUGGGCGUAAAGCGCGCGUAGGCGGCUACUUAAGUCGGAUGUGAAAGCCCUUGGCUCAACUGAGGAAGUGCAUCCGAAACUGGCAAGCUAGAGUACUAAAGAGGGGGGUGGAAUUCCGCGUGUAGCAGUGAAAUGCGUAGAGAUGCGGAGGAACACCGAUGGCGAAGGCAGCCCCCUGGGCUGACACUGACGCUCAGGCACGAAAGCGUGGGGAGCAAACAGG
rnacentral:rRNA from 1 species